GCCCAGUGGCCUUCAAGCUUUUCAUACUGCAAUAAUAAUUUGCUUAAAAAGCAGGUGUCUCAUCACUACCAUGGAUGUGAGAGACUAAGGGAUCCAAGCGAGGCUCAGAGAAUCAGAAGUGACACACACCAUGCAUUGUAAACAAAAAAAGCAAGGCCACAGCAUCAUUGAUGGAAAGCACCUGGAACCCAGUCCAGCCAGCAUCACCCAGAGCUGCAGCACCAGCAGUUUAAGACUUGCACUUUCUGGAGUUUCAGUUCAACUUGCCAG